GAACAUAGAAUUGAUUUGAGCGGAGUAAAGAUUAUUGAUCUUGAAAAGGUUAGCUGAGUGACGGUUAAGCUUACAACUAGGGUUACCUGUGUUAGAAACGAAAUUGCACGAAUAUCUUUCCAAUCUUAGAAAUAAUCUUGCACACCGCCGUCGGAAGAAUUAUUUUAAUGAAUAUAUCUUUACAUUAAACAUUAAGUCAGGUCAAGGUGCAGACAAUAGAGUGGAUAACAUGUGUUAACUUGUUAAUUUUAUUAGUAUAAACUGAAAACUUUAUAUCUAUCAACUUAUAAGUAAAUUAAUUUAAUUAAAAUUAAUUGAAUGGGUUAAUCUUAAUGU
rnacentral:rRNA from 1 species